rnacentral:rRNA from 1 species
CCUACGGGAGGCAGCAGUGGGGGAUAUUGCACAAUGGGGGAAACCCUGAUGCAGCGACGCCGCGUGUGGGAAGACGGUCCUCUGGAUUGUAAACCACUGUCCCCAGGGACGAAGUUGACGGUACCUGGGGAGGAAGCUCCGGCUAACUACGUGCCAGCAGCCGCGGUAAUACGUAGGGAGCGAGCGUUGUCCGGAAUUACUGGGUGUAACGGGAGCGUAGGCGGGACUGCAAGUUGGGGGUAAAAUCUACCGGCUCAACCGGUAGCCGCACUCAAACCUGCAGUUCUUGAGUGAAGUAGAGGCAGGCGGAAUUCCUAGUGUAGCGGUGAAAUGCGUAGAUAUUAGGAGGAACAUCAGUGGCGAAGGCGGCCUGCUGGGCUUUACUGACGCUGAGGCUCGAAAGUGUGGGGAGCAAACAGGAUUAGAUACCCGGGUAGUC